GUCGAGCGAACAGACGAGGAGCUUGCUCCUCUGACGUUAGCGGCGGACGGGUGAGUAACACGUGGAUAACCUACCUAUAAGACUGGGAUAACUUCGGGAAACCGGAGCUAAUACCGGAUAAUAUAUUGAACCGCAUGGUUCAAUAGUGAAAGACGGUUUUGCUGUCACUUAUAGAUGGAUCCGCGCCGCAUUAGCUAGUUGGUAAGGUAACGGCUUACCAAGGCAACGAUGCGUAGCCGACCUGAGAGGGUGAUCGGCCACACUGGAACUGAGACACGGUCCAGACUCCUACGGGAGGCAGCAGUAGGGAAUCUUCCGCAAUGGGCGAAAGCCUGACGGAGCAACGCCGCGUGAGUGAUGAAGGUCUUCGGAUCGUAAAACUCUGUUAUUAGGGAAGAACAAAUGUGUAAGUAACUAUGCACGUCUUGACGGUACCUAAUCAGAAAGCCACGGCUAACUACGUGCCAGCAGCCGCGGUAAUACGUAGGUGGCAAGCGUUAUCCGGAAUUAUUGGGCGUAAAGCGCGCGUAGGCGGUUUUUUAAGUCUGAUGUGAAAGCCCACGGCUCAACCGUGGAGGGUCAUUGGAAACUGGAAAACUUGAGUGCAGAAGAGGA
rnacentral:rRNA from 1 species